ACGGUUCAUAGAAUUUAUUCAUCAGUUGGAAAAGGGUUUAUUGUACUAUUACAGAUAGAUCAACAUGGAUCAUAUAUCUUUUUAUUCAUCAAACAUCUCUAGCUAUCACUUAUUACUCAUAUCACCUAAUUAGUCUCCGCAGCAUCAGCAGCACCAAACGAUGAAAGAGUUACAACACCAAUUUUGAGGCUGCACGUUGGGACCAGUUGGCUUGGGCGAGACAUUCGUGAUGACGCCGUCGUUGUUUUUGUUCUCUAUUUCGGAGGCAGUCCGAGUAGCAACACAUCCAUCGAACAUCACAGCCGUCAUGAGAAUAAGAACGACCAGGAUUGAAACAGUUGCCACCUUCUUCGACUGCAUUUUGUAGUUUGUUUCAGUAAUGUGUAAUUGGUUUUGUGUUUCUU
rnacentral:lncRNA from 1 species